rnacentral:ncRNA from 1 species
AAGUUUUGGUCCUGGACUCACUGUUACUUUUGAUCAGAAUUACACAUGCAAGCAUCAACGCCACGGUGACUCACACACUCCUCAACAGAGAGAAACACAUGGCAUCAGACCCACGAGUCAAAGACGCCAAGCCACGCCACACCCACACGGGCAUGCAGCAGUGAUUAACAUUAGGCAAUAGGCGCCAGCCUGACCCAGUCAUGAUCUCACCACCCAGGGCCGGCAAAUCUCGUGCCAGCCGCCGCGGUUAAACGGGGAGGCCCAAAGUAACAAAAACCGGCAAAAAGAGUGACAAAACACCCAAGCCCAAACAAACCUAAGGCAGAGGACAAGUUACUACGUGAAACAAUAAACCACAGCCAACCCCACACAGCCUUACCACCACGGGCCUGUUGACUCACGAAAGCCAAGACACAAACUAGGAUUAGAUACCCUACUAUGCUUGGCCGUAAACAAAGACAAACCAUUCGCCAGGAGACUACGAGCAAAAGCUUAAAAUCCAAAGGACCUGACGGUGUCCCAUACCAACCUAGAGGAGCCCGUCUCAUAAUCGAUAACCCGCGAUAAACCUCACCACCCCUGGCCCACCAAGGCAGUCUAUAUACCGCCGUCGCCAGCCUAUCUUACAAAAGCAAUGGCCAAAUAGUACAGCAUACUAACACGACAGGUCAAGGCGUAACUCAUGGGGUGGGGAAGAUUGGCUACAAUGCCUACCACGAUAGGCCCCCAUUAACGGAAUACACCAUGAAAUUGGAGUAUAAAGAUGAAUUUAGCAGUAAGGAAAGAAAAGAAGGCUUUCCUGAAGACUGUCCUGGGACGAGUACACACCGCCCGUCACCUUCCUCGCAAACAUAAAACAUAGAACAUAUACACACAACCUCUUACCCUAGAGGAAGGAAGUCGUAACAAGGUAAGUGUACCGGAAGGUGCACUUGGAA